AUUGAACGCUGGCGGCAGGCCUAACACAUGCCAGUCGAGCGGAUGAAGGGAGCUUGCUCCUGGAUUCAGCGGCGGACGGGUGAGUAAUGCCUAGGAAUCUGCCUGGUAGUGGGGGAUAACGUCCGGAAACGGGCGCUAAUACCGCAUACGUCCUGAGGGAGAAAGUGGGGGAUCUUCGGACCUCACGCUAUCAGAUGAGCCUAGGUCGGAUUAGCUAGUUGGUGGGGUAAAGGCCUACCAAGGCGACGAUCCGUAACUGGUCUGAGAGGAUGAUCAGUCACACUGGAACUGAGACACGGUCCAGACACCUACGGGAGGCAGCAGUGGGGAAUAUUGGACAAUGGGCGAAAGCCUGAUCCAGCCAUGCCGCGUGUGUGAAGAAGGUCUUCGGAUUGUAAAGCACUUUAAGUUGGGAGGAGGGGCAGUAAGUUAAUACCUUGCUGUUUUGACGUUACCAACAGAAUAAGCACCGGCUAACUUCGUG
rnacentral:rRNA from 1 species